rnacentral:sRNA from 1 species
CCAGCUAUCUUCUCAAUCUCUGUCUCUUCUUCUCCUUCUAUUUUCGCUUCUCUGUUGAGUUUAUC